GUCUGGAGGUCCAACAUCAGGGAGUUGCCGGGACUGGUUUCAGACACACGGAGGAGAAGACACACAGAGAAAAGGAGGCAGUGAUGUGACCACAGAGGCAGAGAUUGGCAUGAUGCAGCCGCAAGAGGCAGGGUUAUGCAGGCCUCACGAUGCAACUGCUUCUGGAAAAUACAACUGCGUGCAUGGUGAAUCUUCAGCUGUUACUAAACAGCCUUCCCUGGACCUGACUAUCAGCAAUGAGAAUUACUCUUCUUUGCCCCAUUUCUCUCCUUCUGCCUAAGUCAGAACAAUCACUUCUCCUGGAGACAGAUUCAUUAUGAAAGGACUUUAAUUCUGGUCUGACAGACUGCUUGACAUCGGAGUGAAUUCUCAAGGCUUAUCCAGAUCAUCUCAUGGAAUGAUGAGUUGACUUGCACCCACUAAAACAGGAGCAAAUCUCCUUCAAAAGAUCAUGCCAAAGACUGUGUGGGUACUGGAAAGGCUGUGUGGCAGGGAAAAAGCUUUCUCUAACCUAGAAGUCUGCAAGGUCCCCUCUGCACCCCCAAGCAGGGGCCCGAGUUCAUUAAGGCCAGCAAAGCCAACUGACACCACAGGACACCCCGUGACACGAAGUUUUCAACCUCAUUGCUUUCCCCUGAAGUGAAGUUUAGUUACCUGUGCUGUGCUGGACCAGCCAUGAAAGUAAUGAGGGAACUGGAUCACUCCAGGGAAGCCCAGGUAGAAUAAUAGGUGUUACUCAAAAGUACGGCUUUCAACUUAAAAAGGAAGGAAAUUCUGAUACAUGCUACGUGGAUGAACAUUGAAGGCAUGAUGCUAAGUGAAAUAAGCCAGUCACAAAAUGACAAAUAUUGUAUGAUUCCAUUUAUAUGAGGUACUUACAGUAGUCACAUUUAUAGAAACUGGAAGUAGAAGGGAGGGUGGUUGCCAAGGGCUAGGGGAAAGAGGGAGUGAGGAGUUAGUGUGUAAUGGGUAUAUUUCAGUUUUGCUAGAUGAAAAAGUUCUGGAGAUUAGUUGCACAACAAUGUGAAUGUACUUACUACUGAGUUGCAGACUGAAAAAUGGUUAGUAUGGGCCAGGCGUGGUGGCUCACACCUAUAAUCCCAACACUUUGGGAGGCCAAGGUGGGCAGAUCACUUGAUGUCAGGAGUUCAAGACCAACCUGGCCAACAUGGUGAAACCCAUCUCUACUAAAAAUACAAAAAAAUCAGCCACGCGUGGUGGCGCAUGCCUGUAAUCCCAGCUACACGGGAGGCUGAAGCACGAGAAUUGCUUGAACCCAGGAGGCAGAGGUUACAGUGAGCCGAGAUCACGCCACUGUACUCCAGCCUGGGCAACAGAGCUAGACUCUGUCUCCAAAAAAAAAAAAGAGUUAGGAUGGUAAAUUUAAUGUUAUGUAUACUUUUCCACAAUUGUUAAUUAAUUUUUUAAAGUGCAGCUUUUGAUGGCACACAUAUCUCUCCCUCUUCUUUGUCUCCAGAAGAUGAGAGGGAGCAUAGACAGCAGACAGGAUACAUCAUGUUAUUGCAUUUAUUUCUGUAGACCAUGCAUUGAGGCUGUCUGACCUUCAAUUAUUCAUUAAACAAAUAUUUACUGAGUUGAGUACUUACUACAUGCCAAGCAUUGUUCUAGAGGCUGGAGUUACAGCAGUGAACAGAAAAAGAUCUCCCCAGUUCCCUAGCCACAGGGAUCUCACCUUCUAGCAGGUGGAGAAAAACAAUAAAUAAAUAAGCAAGUAAGAUAUAUGGUAAUUAUAUGGCAAUAAGAGCUAUGGAGAAAAAUAAAGCAAAGAAGGAGGAAGAAGAAGAGUGUUUCAGGGUUGUAUUUUUAAAUAAGGUGGUCAGGGGAGACCUCACUGAGAGGAAGGUAUUUGAGUAAGACUUGAAUGAGAUUAGGGAGUUAGCUAUUUAGGUAUCUGCAGGAAGAGUGUUUCAGACAAAAUAAAAAGUCAGUGCAAAGGCCCUGAGGCCGAAACAUGAAUGGUGUGUUUAAGGAAAAGCAAAGGGGCCAUUGUGGCUGGAAAUGUAAGCAGCAGCAGGGAGACAGUCUAAGAAGAGGUUAGAAACAUCACAGAGGCAGCCCAGAUCAUGAAGGUUGAGACGGAGUCUCACGGUGUCACCUAGGCUGGAGUGCAGUGGCACAGACUUGGCUCACUGCAACUUCUGCGUCCCGGGUUCCAGUGAUUCUUCUGCUAUACCUCCCGAGUAACUGGGACUGCAGGCGCCCACCACCAUGCCCAGCGAGGUUUUAGUAGUAGUAGUAGUAGUAGUAGUAGUAGUAGUAGUAGUGGUAGAGAGCAUUUCACCAUGUUGGCCAGGCUGGUCUCAAACUCCUAACCUCAAGUGAUCCGCCCGCCUCAGCCUUCGAAAGUGCUGGGAUUACAGGCGUGAGCCACCGUGCCUGGCCCCAUUAUUUGUAAGACUUUGACUCCUACUCUGAGAUAGUAACUAGAGGAAUGAUAUGAUCCAACUUCCAUGUUAAAAGGAUCACUGGGGGUUGGAGGCGGGUGUGUCAAGGGCAGGAUCAGGAAGACUAGUAGGACUGCAAUACUCCAGGCAAGAGAUGCUGAGAGCUCAGCCCAAGCAGGUAGCUGUGGAGGUGGUAAGAUGUGGGCAGAUUCUGGGUAUAUUUUGAAGAUAGGGCCAACAGGGUUUACUGAGAGACUGGAGGUAAGGCUCUACAGAAAGAGAAAGAAGAGAAACAUUAAAGAUGACCGUAUCGGUUUCCUGGGGCUGCUGUAACACAUCACCACAAACUUGGCGGCUUAAAACAACAGAAAUUUAUUCUCUCACAGUUCUAAGGCCAGGAAGUCUGAGAUUAAGGGGUUCUUGCUUCCAGGGGCUCUAGAGCAGCAGUUCUCAUCCUUCCAGGGGCCGGUUUUGUGAAAGACAAUGUUUCCACGGACGGGGCAGGAGUGCUAGGGGAGAGAGGCAGCAGGGUGGUGGGUGUGUGUGUGGAUGGUUUCGGGAUGAAACUGCUCCACCUCAGAUCAUCAAGCAUUAGUUAGAUUCUCAUAAGAGCACGCAACCUAGAUCCCUCACGUGUGUUGUUCACAAUAGGGUUUGCGUUCCCAUGAGAAUCUAAUGGCACUGAUCUGAUAGGAGGUGGAGCUCAGGUGGCAAUGCUCAUGGGACCACUUACCUCCUGCUGUGCAGCCCAGUUCCCAACAGGCCAUGGACCAGUACCAUCGCAGCCCAGAGGUUGCAGACCCCUGCUAUAAAGGAUAUUCUAUUCCUUGUCUCUUCCAGCUUCUGGUGGAUCCAGGCGUUCCUUGGCUUGGGGUUACAUGACUCUAGUCUCUGCCUUCUCCUCUUUUCUGUGUCACCUGUCCCUUGUAAGGACAACUGUCAUUGGAUUUAGGACCCACCCAGAUAAUCCAGGAUGAUUCCACCAUGAAAUCCUUAACUUCAUUAAAUCUGCAAAGACCCUUUUUCUGGCAAACACAAAAAUGCUUCUGUUUGUUUUAAAAGAUAAACCAGUUUUGUUUAACUUUGUUUACUGCAGGCACUAGAAGUGCAAUUAGCCCUCUUGAAAUUUGGGAUUAUUUAAAAAUAAAGGCUGGGAGCGGUGGCUCACGCCUGAAAUCCCAGCACUUUGGGAGGCCAAGGCAAGUGGGUCACCUGAGAUCAGGAGUUCAAGACCAGCAAUGGCCAACAUGGAGAAACCCAGUCUCUACUAAAACUACAAAAAUUAGCCAGAUGUGGUGGCGGUUGCCUGUAAUCCCAGCUACAUGGGAGGCUGAGGCAGGAGAAUUGCUUGAACCUGGGAGGCAGAGGUUGCAGUGAGCUGAGAUCGCGCCAUUGCACUCCAGCCUGGGUGACAGUGAGACUCCAUCUCAAAAAAAAAAAAGGAUCCUUUUUCCAAAUCAGGUCACAUUCUCAGGGCCUGGGGAGGAUGUGGACAUACCUUUUUGUGAGCCACGAUUCAACUCACUACAAUGACUCUAACUUAUUUUAAUCUGAGCAACUGUAAAGAUGAACUUGCCAUUAACUGAGAUGGAGAAGAAUGCCAGUUUGGAAGAGGAGUCCAGGAGCUCAGUGCUGGACAUGUCAGGGUUGAGAUGCCUGUCUGACAUCCAGUGGAGCUGAUGAGUGGGCAGCUGGGUGAAUAAGCCUGAAGCUUGGGACAGAGGUAUGGAUUGGAGAUGGAAAUAUGAAGGUUCCCUGAUGUGGACAGCAUCUAAAGCCACGGACCCAUGAUCUCAACCAGGGGAGGAGUGUGGACAGAGGAGAAAACCAUCAGGGACUGAGCCCUGGGGCACACCAGGAUUCAGAGGACCCAGCCAAGAGACUGAGAAGGAGCAGCCGGGGAGAGAGGAGGCAAAACAGGAGAGUGUGAGGUCCUAGAAGGCAAGUGAGGGAACUGCUUUAAGGAAGAAGGAGUGAUCAACUCACAGUCUGGGCGUUCAAGUAAAAGUUGAAAUUUCCUAUGCAGUUUCCUGUAACAAGAUUGUGCACUUUUCAUGUCACUCCCCUCUUAUGAUGUAGGAAAGGCAGUGACAUCUGCUUAAAAUCAUCACUAAUACCCUUAUGUUAUAAUGAAGCAUAUUUUCAAAGCGUGUUGUUACCGUUUUUAUCAGCAUAGCUUUUCCCUUGGUUCCAUGUUCUAUGUCUACAACUCAGAAGGGAAAGAAAGGCACACGUCUCAGCCCCACACGGGGUCAGGAGAGACUGUUGAGCCUGAGUCCUGAGCUACUGUUGCCUGGAGUCACGCCAUUUUCCUAAUUUUUUGUUCCUGCAGUAAAAGUCUUGUCCUUAACAGCAGUGGUGGAUGUGUGAGGAAAAUCAAUCAGGGAAACUGUUUUAAAAGGUUUUAAAUGAUUACCAGAGCAUAGUAUAAUCACUUCAGGAACCAAGACAACAAUUUGACAAGUGAAAAACUCCCCAAAUUCCACUGGCUUGCCUGAAAGCCUGUUACAAAAAAAACAAACAUCUGACAAAUCAAUCAAUCUAGCUUAAACAUCCAAACAGAGUGCUUUGUCACCGAGUGAGGGAGAAGCAGCAUGAGAUGACUGGGUGGGUUUUCCACCAAAUGGACAUUCAGAAGAGACAACUUAAAUCUUGAGCUGUUUGGGAGGUUUUUAGUGAAUGAUAAUGAAUGGUUAAAUUAGAGAACUGAGUGCUAAAUCCUGAAGAAUAAAUAUGUUUUGUGGAAA